AUUGUUAAUCGUAAUCAUAAACCAACUUAUAUUCUGUUCUGUAACGCGAAAUAUAAUGCAAAAUACAAAACCUAAUAGAAUUUACAAAAUAAAUAUUUAAUUACCAUAAGAGCAUAUUUAUAACUAUAAAUUGUGUUAAAAAGAGAUUUUGUAGUAAAUAUAAUAUUUUUUCUGCCUAUUUUGAAUUUCAGAGUAAACUGUGUACAUCGUUUGUCGUAGAAUCCGUCGUAUCUACUUACAUUAAUAUUUAUGACGAUUUGAGUGGAACGAUUCGUACAUUACUCGUAUAGUACAGAUUCUGAGAUCAGUCAACACAGAUAUUCCAAACUCUAUUCUGAGUGUCAUCACGUCACCCGAUUUUUCAUUUUUUUGUCUAAGGGGAGGAAGAGUAUUCAAAGGUUAAGUUUUUUUAGCGUAAUUUAAAUAAUUUAACGAUUUUUUUUUCACAAGGAUGUACCGAAUGAGUACGAGUAAAACACUCUUAUUAUUUCUAAUUUAAUUUUAUUUGUUAUUUCAGUUAUAAAUAUCAUAAAUUAAGUUAAAAUAGUCAAAUUAUAAAAAAUAUUAUAUAUUAAAUGGCUAGGCUUUAAACAGUUUGAUUAUAAUAAAAAAAAAUUAAAAAACCAAUGUAUACAUACAAAUCGAUUAAUUAACACACGAGCGAAGCCGAGUAAUUCAGCUAGUAAUUUAUUAUAUAUAUAUAUUGUUAUAUUAUGUACAUUAAACAUUAAACAUUAUGUAUUAUUAUGUUCAUACGCACGAACAUAGUCAGAUUGUAAGUUGGCAAGUAUUUACAAUAAAUGGAAAGUAUUUGCAAUCAAUUGCAAGUAUUUUCAACCAAAAGUAA